CGAUAGUGAACCAGUACCGUGAGGGAAAGGCGAAAAGAACCCCGGCGAGGGGAGUGAAAAAGAACCUGAAACCGUGUACGUACAAGCAGUGGGAGCACAGGUUUACCUGUGUGACUGCGUACCUUUUGUAUAAUGGGUCAGCGACUUAUAUUCUGUAGCAAGGUUAACCGAAUAGGGGAGCCGGAGGGAAACCGAGUCUUAACCGGGCGUUAAGUUGCAGGGUAUAGACCCGAAACCCGGUGAUCUAGCCAUGGGCAGGUUGAAGGUUGGGUAACACUAA
rnacentral:rRNA from 1 species